CAGCAGCCGCGGGAAUACGUAGGGUGCAAGCGUUAAUCGGAAUUACUGGGCGUAAAGCGUGCGCAGGCGGUUAUAUAAGUCAGAUGUGAAAUCCCCGGGCUCAGCCUGGGAACUGCAUUUGAGACUGUAUGGCUAGAGUGUGUCAGAGGGGGGUAGAAUUCCACGUGUAGCAGUGAAAUGCGUAGAUAUGUGGAGGAAUACCGAUGGCGAAGGCAGCCCCCUGGGAUAACACUGACGCUCAUGCACGAAAGCGUGGGGAGCAAACAGGAUUAGAUACCCCAGUAGUCCCUGUCUCUUAUAC
rnacentral:rRNA from 1 species